ensembl:lncRNA
AAUUUAAGAGGGUCCUGCAGAUCAUUAUUCCUUGGUGGAAUCUGUCAUUCUUCUCAUGGAGGUUGAGUCCAUCAUCAACCAGAGCAGCUGUAGUGAAUCUGGUGGUGGAUGAACUUGGUCAGCAGUCUGUGGAGGUGACCAGAGAAGUUUUCAUGUACAUGAACAGAACUGAUCUGGUGCAGAAGUUACCAGAGAGCAGCUCAGCAUCCAGAGGAGUUAACCUUCAGUUAUAACAGGAUAAACUUCUAUGAAGUGUUCAUUGAGAAUCCAGACAGAAAACUCAGGCUUACACUCCUGCACUCAAAUGAUGAUGAACCAGUCUGGACAUGUAAUGUUCAUCAAGAUGACUUUCCCAUGUCUGGUUAUGUUGAAGCUUCAGGAUCUUCAAGGGGAGCAACUGGUGUCAGUACUUCAGGAUCCUCAAGGGGAGCAGCGGGUGUCGGCACGUUGGCAGCUGAGAAACACUCGGUGGACAAACAUCCUCCUGCACGGGGAAAGAAAGCAUUGUUCAAAUCAGACAGAAAGAGGUACGAUGAAGAUCCAGAAGAAGAAGAGCAUAAAAAGCUAAAGUUACAGUGGGACAGUGAUGCUGCAGCACAGAUGCCAAAGGCAUUAACAGUCCACUCAGACAGAGAGAAGCUUUUGGAAAUGUUGGAAGAUCUAAAAAAAGAUGAGCUUGAAAAGUUCAAGUGGUUCCUGCGGGACCCCAAAAAUUUUCGCAAUCUGUGUAUAACUCUAUGUUGCCCCUAGUGGAAGUGUGUGAAAUUGCAAGAAUUUCCACUGUCCCCAAAAGUGACAUUUCUUGGAUUUUUUUGUGUGUGUAUUACCUCUCCCUAACCCUUAUAUUAUUAUAGUGUAAGAUUUCUUUUAAUAUACUGAUCUUUGUUGAAAAUCUUAUUCAAUAUUCUUUUGUAUGAAUGGUUUUAUAUAAACAAACAUUUGUUCUCUUGACUAAAUAAUAGAAAUCAGUAGACUAUUUGUUAGAAAGUAGAUUAUUUUUUUCAAAGAGUAAAGAAGACACUAG